UACAGAGGUCCCAAGCGUUGUUCGGAUUUACUGGGCGUAAAGGGUGCGUAGGUGGCGGGCUAAGUCUGGUGUGAAAGCUCCGAGCUCAACUCGGAAAAGCAUUGGAAACUAUCCCGCUGGAGGGUCGGAGGGGAGACUGGAAUUCUCGGUGUAGCAGUGAAAUGCGUAGAUAUCGAGAGGAACACCAGUGGCGAAGGCGAGUCUCUGGACGACUCCUGACACUGAGGCACGAAAGCUAGGGGAGCAAACAGG
rnacentral:rRNA from 1 species